GACAGAGGGUGCAAACGUUGCUCGGAAUUACUGGGCGUAAAGGGCGUGUAGGCGGGUAGGCAAGUCGGGCGUGAAAUCCCUAGGCUCAACCUAGGAACUGCACUCGAAACUGCCUUUCUUGAGUGUCGGAGAGGAAAGCGGAAUUCCUGGUGUAGAGGUGAAAUUCGUAGAUAUCAGGAGGAACACCAGUGGCGAAGGCGGCUUGCUGGGCUUGGUCUGACGCUGAGGCGCGAAAGCGUGGGGAGCAAACAGG
rnacentral:rRNA from 1 species